rnacentral:rRNA from 1 species
CAAGGUAGCCGUAUCGGAAGGUGCGGCUGGAUCACCUCCUU